rnacentral:tRNA from 1 species
UCCCUGGUGGCUCAGAUGGUAAAGAAUCUGCCUGAAAUGCAGGAGACCCAGGUUUGAUCCCUGGGUUAGGAA